UGGGCGGCGUGGAUUAGGCAUGCAAGUCGAGCGAGAAGCUUAAAUUUGAUCUUUCGAGUGAAGAUUUGAGUGGACAGCGGCGAAAGGGAGAGUAACGAGUAGAUUACGUACCUGAGGGUUCAGGAUAGCGGGGGGAAACCGCCGGUAAUACUGAAUAAUGUUUCCGAACCAAAGAUUUAUCGCCCUCGGAGCGGUUUGCUUACUAUUAGUUUGUUGGUGGGGUAAAGGCCUACCAAGGCUAAGAUGGUUAGCGGGUGUGAGAGCAUGGCAGCGUCUCACUGGGACUGAGACACUGCCCAGACACCUACGGGUGGCUGCAGUCGAGAAUCUUCCGCAAUGGACGAAAGUCUGACGGAGCGACGCCGCGUGCGGGAUGAAGGCCUUCGGGUUGUAAACCGCUGUCGUAGGGGAGGAAAUUUUGACCGAUCCUAGGAGGAAGCACAGGCUAAGUUCGUGCCAGCAGCCGCGGUAAUACGAACUGUGCGAACGUUAUUCGGAAUCACUGGGCUUAAAGGGUGCGUAGGCGGCUAUGAAGGUCAGGUGUGAAAUCCCACGGCUCAACCGUGGAACUGCGCCUGAAACCACGUAGCUUGAGGAAGUCAGAGGUAAGCGGAACUGAUGGUGGAGCGGUGAAAUGCGUUGAUAUCAUCAAGAACACCGGUGG
rnacentral:rRNA from 1 species